rnacentral:rRNA from 1 species
GGUCAAGUGAAGAAGCGCAUACGGUGGAUGCCUUGGCAGUCAGAGGCGAUGAAAGACGUGGUAGCCUGCGAAAAGCUUCGGGGAGUCGGCAAACAGACUUUGAUCCGGAGAUGUCUGAAUGGGGGAACCCAGCCAUCAUAAGAUGGUUAUCUUGUACUGAAUACAUAGGUGCAAGAGGCGAACCAGGGGAACUGAAACAUCUAAGUACCCUGAGGAAAAGAAAUCAACCGAGAUUCCCUUAGUAGUGGCGAGCGAACGGGGACUAGCCCUUAAGUGGCUUUGAGAUUAGCGGAACGCUCUGGAAAGUGCGGCCAUAGUGGGUGAUAGCCCUGUACGCGAAAAUCUCUUAGUCAUGAAAUCGAGUAGGACGGAGCACGAGAAACUUUGUCUGAAUAUGGGGGGACCAUCCUCCAAGGCUAAAUACUACUGACUGACCGAUAGUGAACUAGUACCGUGAGGGAAAGGCGAAAAGAACCCCGGAGAGGGGAGUGAAAUAGAUCCUGAAACCGUAUGCGUACAAGCAGUGGGAGCAGACUUUGUUCUGUGACUGCGUACCUUUUGUAUAAUGGGUCAGCGACUUAUUUUCAGUGGCGAGCUUAACCGAAUAGGGGAGGCGUAGCGAAAGCGAGUCUUAAUAGGGCGUCUAGUCGCUGGGAAUAGACCCGAAACCGGGCGAUCUAUCCAUGGGCAGGUUGAAGGUUGGGUAACACUAACUGGAGGACCGAACCGACUACCGUUGAAAAGUUAGCGGAUGACCUGUGGAUCGGAGUGAAAGGCUAAUCAAGCUCGGAGAUAGCUGGUUCUCCUCGAAAGCUAUUUAGGUAGCGCCUCAUGUAUCACUGUAGGGGGUAGAGCACUGUUUCGGCUAGGGGGUCAUCCCGACUUACCAAACCGAUGCAAACUCCGAAUACCUACAAGUGCCGAGCAUGGGAGACACACGGCGGGUGCUAACGUCCGUCGUGAAAAGGGAAACAACCCAGACCGUCAGCUAAGGUCCCAAAGUUAUGGUUAAGUGGGAAACGAUGUGGGAAGGCUUAGACAGCUAGGAGGUUGGCUUAGAAGCAGCCACCCUUUAAAGAAAGCGUAAUAGCUCACUAGUCGAGUCGGCCUGCGCGGAAGAUGUAACGGGGCUCAAACCAUACACCGAAGCUACGGGUAUCAUCUUAGGAUGAUGCGGUAGAGGAGCGUUCUGUAAGCCUGUGAAGGUGAGUUGAGAAGCUUGCUGGAGGUAUCAGAAGUGCGAAUGCUGACAUGAGUAACGACAAUGGGUGUGAAAAACACCCACGCCGAAAGACCAAGGUUUCCUGCGCAACGUUAAUCGACGCAGGGUUAGUCGGUCCCUAAGGCGAGGCUGAAAAGCGUAGUCGAUGGAAAACAGGUUAAUAUUCCUGUACUUCUGGUUAUUGCGAUGGAGGGACGGAGAAGGCUAGGCCAGCUUGGCGUUGGUUGUCCAAGUUUAAGGUGGUAGGCUGGAAUCUUAGGUAAAUCCGGGAUUCUAAGGCCGAGAGCUGAUGACGAGUCAUCUUUUAGAUGACGAAGUGGUUGAUGCCAUGCUUCCAAGAAAAGCUUCUAAGCUUCAGGUAACCAGGAACCGUACCCCAAACCGACACAGGUGGUUGGGUAGAGAAUACCAAGGCGCUUGAGAGAACUCGGGUGAAGGAACUAGGCAAAAUGGCACCGUAACUUCGGGAGAAGGUGCGCCGGUGAGGGUGAAGGACUUGCUCCGUAAGCUCAUGCCGGUCGAAGAUACCAGGCCGCUGCGACUGUUUAUUAAAAACACAGCACUCUGCAAACACGAAAGUGGACGUAUAGGGUGUGACGCCUGCCCGGUGCCGGAAGGUUAAUUGAUGGGGUUAGCUAACGCGAAGCUCUUGAUCGAAGCCCCGGUAAACGGCGGCCGUAACUAUAACGGUCCUAAGGUAGCGAAAUUCCUUGUCGGGUAAGUUCCGACCUGCACGAAUGGCGUAACGAUGGCGGCGCUGUCUCCACCCGAGACUCAGUGAAAUUGAAAUCGCUGUGAAGAUGCAGUGUAUCCGCGGCUAGACGGAAAGACCCCGUGAACCUUUACUAUAGCUUUGCACUGGACUUUGAAUUUGCUUGUGUAGGAUAGGUGGGAGGCUUUGAAGCGUGGACGCCAGUUCGCGUGGAGCCAACCUUGAAAUACCACCCUGGCAACUUUGAGGUUCUAACUCAGGUCCGUUAUCCGGAUCGAGGACAGUGUAUGGUGGGUAGUUUGACUGGGGCGGUCUCCUCCUAAAGAGUAACGGAGGAGUACGAAGGUGCGCUCAGACCGGUCGGAAAUCGGUCGUAGAGUAUAAAGGCAAAAGCGCGCUUGACUGCGAGACAGACACGUCGAGCAGGUACGAAAGUAGGUCUUAGUGAUCCGGUGGUUCUGUAUGGAAGGGCCAUCGCUCAACGGAUAAAAGGUACUCCGGGGAUAACAGGCUGAUACCGCCCAAGAGUUCAUAUCGACGGCGGUGUUUGGCACCUCGAUGUCGGCUCAUCACAUCCUGGGGCUGAAGCCGGUCCCAAGGGUAUGGCUGUUCGCCAUUUAAAGUGGUACGCGAGCUGGGUUUAGAACGUCGUGAGACAGUUCGGUCCCUAUCUGCCGUGGACGUUUGAGAUUUGAGAGGGGCUGCUCCUAGUACGAGAGGACCGGAGUGGACGAACCUCUGGUGUUCCGGUUGUCACGCCAGUGGCAUUGCCGGGUAGCUAUGUUCGGGAAAGAUAACCGCUGAAAGCAUCUAAGCGGGAAACUUGCCUCAAGAUGAGAUCUCACUGGAACCUUGAGUUCCCUGAAGGGCCGUCGAAGACUACGACGUUGAUAGGUUGGGUGUGUAAGCGCUGUGAGGCGUUGAGCUAACCAAUACUAAUUGCCCGUGAGGCUUGACCAU